GGCUCAGUAGGUUAAGCAUCCAACUCUUGAUCUCAGCUCAGGUCUUGAUCUCAGGGUGGUAAGUUCAAACCCUGCACUGGGUUCUGCGCUGGGCACGGAGUCUACUUUAAAACAAAACAAAACAAAAAAAACACAAAC